rnacentral:lncRNA from 10 species
CACUUGUAGUGAGGGGUUGCAGCAGCUACAUUCUGUUUCUAGGGGUGGUGGCAAUGGCAGCAGUUCUGCUGUCAGAGGCUGGUGAGCAGUCCUGAUGGUGGUGGUGACACCUGUGCCCAGCACGAGCUUCCAGGAACCUUCCCUGGGCCAGUUCUGCAAGAUGCUUUGAGCCCCACCCCUGAGUCUCUGGCCCUCCGGGAGUCUCGGAGUCUCGGCAAUAACCUACGAAAUACUGGGAUAUACGCACAAAGAUCCAUGUGCCAGGAUAUGUGUUGGAGGAUUUAUAUUUGGAGAAAAUUAAAUGCGCAAUGAGAGGAUCGCUGUAGAAGUAGAGAUC